GAAGACCCUUUUUAAACAAAUUGUAUCAAACUAUCCUGUAAUUGAAAACAAACAGCAUGAUUCAGGUACUGAAAACAAGAAGAAGAAGGCUUGGAUUUCCAUAUUGAAUGAAUUCAACUCAAAUGAAAAAGUAACCAAACGGACACUCCAACAAGUUCAGGUCCUGUGGAAAAACAUAAAAAUAAACCUGAAAAAAACUACUGCUGCUACGCGUCAAGAGCGUUUCAAGACAGGUGGGGGACUCCCAGUUCCACCAGACACAGAGGAGUUGGGGGACUUGUUGGCUGGGAUUAUUGAAAGUCAGCAACCCCUGGAAGGUAUUCCAGAUGAUGACCAUUUGGACAGUUCAGAUGACCUGAUCUUGACACAGGACUUGGGGGGCGUAGGGAACAGUCAAGAUGCUCAAAUGA